UGGCACGAGGCACGAGGCAGGGCUUUGGCAACGGGUCUGCCCGCCACGUCACACCGUCAGACUAUUCUGGUCAUUGUACGCUGACCACCUGACGUGGAUAGGCCUGCACCUGGCCAUCGGUUUUCUCUGAGUGUGGUUUGCAGACAAAAUCGUGUUACCAGAGCUUUACAGUGGCCGUCGCUCACACUCCACCAAUUUCCUCUUUCCACGCGGAGAGCAAGACGCUAGAAGGGAAAGCAGGCCCGAGACGAGACGAUUGCUGUGGACCCAGGAGACAUCGUCGGUUCCCAGCAGCAACGGUCAAAAAACGCGGAUUGAAGAAUGGCUAAAUGAAGCUAAAUUUAUGUCUCAUCACAGUUUAAAUAGUUACCAAAAGAAUUUAAAUUGAAACAAAAUGAC